rnacentral:rRNA from 1 species
GGUCAAUGGGCGGAAGCCUGAACCAGCCAUCCCGCGUGAAGGAAGAAGGCCUUAUGGGUUGUAAACUUCUUUUCUUUGUGAAGAAUAAGCUGUUCGAGACAAGUGAUGCCGGUAGGACAGGAAUAAGCAUCGGCUAAAUCCGUGCCAGCAGCCGCGGUAAUACGGAGGAUGCAAGCGUUAUCCGGAUUUAUUGGGUUUAAAGGGUGCGCAGGUGGUUUAAUAAGUCAGUGGUGAAAAUCUGCCGCUUAACGGUAGGAUUGCCAUUGAUACUGUUGGACUUGAAUAUGGAUGAGGUAGGCGGAAUGUGUAGUGUAGCGGUGAAAUGCUUAGAUAUUACACAGAACACCGAUUGCGAAGGCAGCUUACUAAUCCAUGAUUGACGCUGAGGCACGAAAGCGUGGGGAUCAAACAGGAUUAGAUACCCUGGUAGUCCACGCUGUAAACGAUGAUCACU